UCUAGAUUUGGGUACUUUCAGGACCCGUCUUGAAACACGGACCAAG
rnacentral:rRNA from 1 species